ACAAAGGACCCAUUGGGGUCCACAGACUUUUCACAAACAGCUGGUU
rfam:Felis catus isolate Cinnamon breed Abyssinian chromosome X, whole genome shotgun sequence.